rnacentral:rRNA from 1 species
GAUGAACGCUGGCUACAGGCUUAACACAUGCAAGUCGAGGGGAAACGGCAUUGAGUGCUUGCACUGAAUGGACGUCGACCGGCGCACGGGUGAGUAACGCGUAUCCAACCUUCCCGUUACUGCGGGAUAACCUGCCGAAAGGCAGACUAAUACCGCAUGUUCUUCGAUGACGGCAUCAGAUUCGAAGCAAAGAUCCGUCGGUAACGGAGGGGGAUGCGUCUGAUUAGCUAGUUGGCGGGGCGACGGCCCACCAAGGCGACGAUCAGUAGGGGUUCUGAGAGGAAGGUCCCCCACAUUGGAACUGAGACACGGUCCAAACUCCUACGGGAGGCAGCAGUGAGGAAUAUUGGUCAAUGGGCGGAAGCCUGAACCAGCCAAGUAGCGUGCAGGAUGACGGCCCUACGGGUUGUAAACUGCUUUUAUGCGGGGAUAAAGUGAGGGACGCGUCCCUUUUUGCAGGUACCGCAUGAAUAAGGACCGGCUAAGUCCGUG